GCAUUUCCUUUUUGACUUGCCUUAGGGAGAGGGAGACCAGCGGAGGCUGGGGGCUGUUGGACUCAUCAAUCUGAGUGCAAUGCAAGCCUUUCGGUACUGAGAAAACUACUCUGUGACCUCUGCUGUGAAGGACUUUCCUUGCUCCCUCCAAAGGAUUUAAUUCAUUUCCAAAGCAACGCAACAAAAAGGCCUCUUGUGGAUACACACACACUGAUUCUUUUAAAGUCAGUUGAUUUGUGGCAUGUGCUGACAAACUGAAGAGAUGCAUUUAUGACAUUUCCGAGGAAGAAUUACUGAGCAUAAGGGUGAAGGAUUAAAGGCAUAGGCCAGCUUUGCUCACACAACUCUGCGGAUAAAAUUAAGUCCUAACCUGCAGCCCUCAAUCCUAUUCUUGUGUUGGCCACGUUCCUCUGUGAUUGCUACUCCAUCCUGACCAGCAGCAACUUUUGCUAUGGCAGUAAUACACCUCUCUUGUUCAGAAACUGACGUGGGCUUGCUGAUGCCAAAAUUGGCCUUUUGGUUAGCCAAGUUGGGUUGGCUUUGUGACACGGCAAAUGUUGGCUAAGGACUAGACCGAGACUGCAGCAUUCAUUUGGGGCUAUUAUCAGUGGACAGCAAUGAGAUCCGCUCCACGCAACAAACCUACAACAUUGUCGAGACUUUUCUCAUACAACUGUUCUCUUUUCACGUAAGACAUAGUUUACAACAGACGGUAUCUGGGAAGCAGGGCUUUGAUUCAGAGAGAGCCUUGUGUAUAGGAAUUAAAGUCCAGCAUAUAGCAGGUGAAUACUGGAACCAAGAUGAUAUUGCUCUUAAGGGAUUUUGACACUUUAACACAGACUCUGAUUCCAAAAAAUCCAUGAAUAGACUCCCAUUAAUGACAAAACUCCCUUUGACGUCAACUAGUUUUGGACUUAAUGAGUGGAACUAUGCUAGCAUUUGUUCUAGCAUGUAAGUACAUUUAGAAGUAAACAACCGAG
rnacentral:lncRNA from 1 species